rnacentral:rRNA from 1 species
UACGUAGGGUGCAAGCGUUAAUCGGAAUUACUGGGCGUAAAGCGUGCGCAGGCGGUUGUGCAAGACAGAUGUGAAAUCCCCGGGCUCAACCUGGGAACUGCACUUGAAACUACGAUGCUGGAGUAUGGCAGAGGGAGGUGGAAUUCCACGUGUAGCGGUGAAAUGCGCAGAUAUCAGGAAGAACACCCGUGGCGAAGGCGGCUCUCUGGGACGGUACUGACGCUGAGACGCGAAAGCGUGGGGAGCAAACAGG